CAAUAGCGUAUAUUAAAGUUGUUGCGGUUAAAAAGCUCGUAGUUGGAUUUCUGCUGAGAACGACCGGUCCGCCCAUUGGGUGUGUAUCUGGCUCUUUCUUGGCAUCUUCUUGGUGAACGUUACUGCACUUGACUGUGUGGAGCGCUACCCAGGACUUUUACUUUGAGGAAAUUAGAGUGUUUCAAGCAGGCAUACGCCUUGAAUACGUUAGCAUGGAAUAAUAAGAUAGGACCUCGGUUCUAUUUUGUUGGUUUCUAGAGCUGAGGUAAUGAUUAAUAGGGAUAGUUGGGGGCAUUCGUAUUUAACUGUCAGAGGUGAAAUUCUUGGACUUGUUAAAGACGGACUACUGCGAAAGCAUUUGCCAAGGAUGUUUUCAUUGA
rnacentral:rRNA from 1 species